AGGUAGGGUGGCCGAGAGUAGGUGGCAAGCUGUAGACUUGUUUACGGGGCAGACCCCCCCCCAGCCC
rnacentral:tRNA from 1 species